rnacentral:rRNA from 1 species
AGAGUUUGAUUAUGGCUCAGGAUGAACGCUGGCGGCGUGCUUAACACAUGCAAGUCGAACGGAGAUUACUUUUAGCUUGCUAAGUUGUAAUCUUAGUGGCGGACGGGUGAGUAACGCGUGGGUAACCUGCCUUAUCCAGGGGGAUAACAGUUAGAAAUGACUGCUAAUACCGCAUAAGCGCACAGUUUCGCAUGAAACAGUGUGAAAAGAUUUAUCGGGAUAAGAUGGACCCGCGUCUGAUUAGCUAGUUGGUGAGGUAACGGCCCACCAAGGCGACGAUCAGUAGCCGGCCUGAGAGGGUGAACGGCCACAUUGGGACUGAGACACGGCCCAAACUCCUACGGGAGGCAGCAGUGGGGAAUAUUGCACAAUGGGGGAAACCCUGAUGCAAGCGACGCCGCGUGAGUGAAGAAGUAUUUCGGUAUGUAAAGCUCUAUCAGCAGGGAAGAAAAUGACGGUACCUGACUAAGAAGCCCCGGCUAACUACGUGCCAGCAGCCGC